GAUGAACGCUGGCGGCGUGCCUAAUACAUGCAAGUCGAGCGAACGGACGAGAAGCUUGCUUCUCUGAUGUUAGCGGCGGACGGGUGAGUAACACGUGGAUAACCUACCUAUAAGACUGGGAUAACUUCGGGAAACCGUAGCUAAUACCGGAUAAUAUUUUGAACCGCAUGGUUCAAAAGUGAAAGACGGUCUUGCUGUCACUUAUAGAUGGAUCCGCGCUGCAUUAGCUAGUUGGUAAGGUAACGGCUUACCAAGGCAACGAUGCAUAGCCGACCUGAGAGGGUGAUCGGCCACACGGGAACGUGGACACGGUCCAGACGCCUACGGGAGGCAGCAGUAGGGAAUCUUCCGCAAUGGGCGAAAGCCUGACGGAGCAACGCCGAGUGAGUGAUGAAGGUCUUCGGAUCGUAAAACUCUGUUAUUAGGGAAGAACAUAUGUGUAAGUAACUGUGCACAUCUUGACGGUACCUAAUCAGAAAGCCACGGCUAACUACGUG
rnacentral:rRNA from 1 species